rnacentral:rRNA from 1 species
GACGGAGGGUGCAAGCGUUGUUCGGAUUGACUGGGCGUAAAGGGCGUGUAGGCGGUCGGCCAAGUCUGAUGUGAAAGCCCGAGGCUCAGCCUCGGAAGUGCGUCGGAAACUAGUCGGCUGGAGCGCGAUAGAGGAGGGUGGAGUUCCUGGUGUAGCGGUGAAAUGCGUAGAUAUCAGGAGGAACACCGGCGGCGAAGGCGGCCCUCUGGAUCGUUGCUGACGCUGAUACGCGAAAGCGUGGGGAGCAAACAGG